AGCGAACGCUGGCGGCAGGCCUAACACAUGCAAGUCGAGCGCCCAGCAAUGGGAGCGGCAGACGGGAUAGUAACACGUGGGAACGUGCCCUUUGGUUCGGAAUAACUCAGGGAAACUUGAGCUAAUACCGGAUAAGCCCUUCGGGGGAAAGAUUUAUUGCCAUUGGAGCGGCCCGCGUCGGAUUAGCUAGUUGGUGAGGUAAUGGCGCACCAAGGCGACGAUCCGUAGCUGGUCUGAGAGGAUGACCAGGAUCACUGGGACUGAGACACGGCCCAGACUCCUACGGGAGGCAGCAGUGGGGAAUAUUGGACAAUGGGCGCAAGCCUGAUCCAGCCAUGCCGCGUGGAUGAUGAAGGCCCUAGGGUUGUAAAGUCCUUUUAACGGGGAAGAUAACGACGGUACCCGUAGAAUAAGCCCCGGCUAACUUCGUGCCAGCCGCCGCCGUAA
rnacentral:rRNA from 1 species